rnacentral:rRNA from 1 species
UACGGGGGAGCAAGCGUUGUUCGGAUUUACUGGGCGUAAAGGGCGCGUAGGCGGUCAGCACAAGUCAGUUGUGAAAUCUCCGGGCUUAACUCGGAAAGGUCAACUGAUACUGUGCGACUAGAGUGCAGAAGGGCAACUGGGAUUCUCGGUGUAGCGGAUGAAAUGCGUAGUAUAAUCGAGAGGAACACCUGCGGCGAAGGCGGUGCUGGGCUGACACGUGACGCUG